rnacentral:pre_miRNA from 1 species
GUUGAGAGGAACGUUGUCUGGCUCGAGGAGAUAAAGAUGGUUGAAGAGAAUACUUUCUCAUCAUUCAUUCACUCUCAACCUCGGACCAGGCUUCAUUCCCCCCACC